rnacentral:lncRNA from 1 species
GCACAGCAAUGUGUUGUGCAGAAGCAAGGAAGGCCCCAGCCGCCACGGCGACACCGCAUAAAUCACCGGCGCGAGUCCUCGGCGGCUCCCGGCCUGUGCAUUGGAGCAACGGCGCCGACUCUCAUUGGGUGAUGCUUCAUUACUCGGUGGAAAAUCCCCAGAGCCAAAACGUUAUUUAAAUGUGCUAUGAAAAUAAACGUGAUUUAUACACGUGUCGUUCGCUCAGGCGUCCUCGGCUACUGCAGGUGCUGCUGGGCACCAGGAUUCGCACCUCAAUUUAUCGCCGAUUCAAGCGACACACACGUGCUCGCCGGCAGGACGUGGUCCACAGCCCCCCAGAUUCCAGAGAGGAGGCGGUGUUUGCUGAGUGAAAAUGAUCUCCGACUCCGAGUCCUCGUGCGUUUCAGUCCAGCGGGCGCCUCUGAAAUCUCCAUUUGGUCGGGAGCUGCCCCUUCUUGUCGGCCUGCUCACCAGGGUUCUGAGGUCUCAGCAACAGCUUUGGCUCUGAACCCAGAGCAAGCACCGCAAAUGCCGUGAGAAAGGCUAAUUUGGUCUGCAAACACGUUUCAGCGAAGCCCCACUCCCAGCGAAGCUGCCACUCGGAGGUGCCACUGGAUCCAGCUGCUCAGAGAGACCAUCUGGCUCCCGUGGCCUCCCUGGGUGUCCCAGGACGUCAGCCCCGGGCAAGCCAAGGAAUGAAAAGACAACAUCGCCAGAGGAUUUAGUGCUGUCCACCGAGGAGGAUUAGCGGAACGCCUUUACGAUGCUGGUGUUGACAGACAGGACUAGCGGCUGUUUUAUAGGCUAUCGACUGAGUGAUAUCAGACUUCUCCGGUGGGUUAGUGGUUGUGUUUGAGCUGCCGUGAUGUGACCUGCGGUGUAUCCAAAUCAGUGUAAUAAUAAGCUGGGUUAUGAGGCCAUUUACUUUGCCCUAUAUGCGCCAAUAUAGUAAACUUGUUAUAAAACCAAGCGAAUGAGGGCUUCUGUUUCGCCUGCUGGUGCAUGGUGAGGGUAUGAGAGCAAUCAACUUGUUCCUCUCCAACACAUAUCCAUCCAGGAGGUUCGUAAAAGCUCCUUAUGCCUCGGCGGGAAAUGAUUUUAGUCUUAAGAAGGAAACACAUGGCUUUCUUCUUACAGCUUCAGGCUCCGUCUCGCCAGCUGCAUUUAUGGCCCCUGGCCUGGCAGGAAUGAAAGGAGACCUUGAUGAGCUCUGGGAGUGGUCCCUGCAGGGGAAAGAUGCAGAGAGCCUGGGCUGUUUGGAAGGCCAUCGCUUGAGAGUGUCUCUUCCCCCUUUCCAACGCACAUCUUAGAGACACCACUGGCGGUGGGUGCAAAGGCCCUGGGGCCCCACUUCCCUGCCAGAGGGGUUUUCUAUAGGUUGAGGCCCCUGGGAAAACGGAUCUUGGGGAGGCCGACUGGGUUCCCAGGCUGGUAUUUCUCCUAGUCGCUGCUGGGUCUGGUAUACUUUAAAGCAAAUUCUUACCCUUUUUGUUUAAAUUUUUUUUGAAGGUGUUAGCAGUCUGUCUUACCUUCUCCC